CCCUUAGAUGUCCUGGGCCGCACGCGCGCUACACUGAGUGUCUGAGAUACGAGUCUGCCUGGUCCGGCAAGGUCUAGGUAAUCGCUAGAAGACACAUCAUGCUUGGGAUAGAUUAUUGCAAAUAUUAAUCUUGAACGAGGAAUUCCUAGUAAGCGCAAGUCAACAGCUUGCGUUGAUUACGUCCCUGCCCUUUGUACACACCGCCCGUCGCUACUACUGAUUGGAUGUUUAAGUGAGGUUCUCGAACUGCUAGCGACUUAGCUUCGGUGAGGUCGCAGUGUGGGAAGUGAACCUAGCUUUGGUGUCUAGAGGAAGUAAAAGUCGUAACA
rnacentral:rRNA from 1 species